CCAAGUCAGGAUGAUGUGUGGCUUAGAGGGGAAUUUGCAGGUGGUGGUAUUGCCACACUUUGCUAUUCCAUUUCUUCUAGAUGGUAGAGCUCAUAGAAGCAACUAUCAGAGAAGACUUUGUUGCAUUCAUCUCAGCAUUCCAUUACACCUCAGACUUGUAUCUUAUAGAUGGUGGACAGAUAUUAGGGAGACAUGAGGUCUUACUGCAUUUGGUCAUGGACUACUUCACUAUCUGAAAAGCUGCAAAGGAUGUGCAAUCAUCAGUGAACAUCUCCACUUCUGAUCCAAUGAUGAAAGGAAGGCCAUAGCCCAAUGGAGCUGAAUAUAAUUGGAUCUAGGACAUCACUCUGAGGAAAUUCUACAGUGAUGACUUCAGCUGAUUAAUCUCCGACAUUCACAAGAGAUCUGGAUCAUGCCCUAAGCACUUCUGACUGGGGAUGGAUGCAAAUGCUUCUGGCUUGUCUUUUGCCCUGAUGUGUUAGUGUUGCCCUCACAUCUGUCCCUCAUUGUCGAGGAUGGAGGUAUUUGUGGAGUAUCUUUCUCCAGUAAUUGUUUAAUUGUUCACCACCAUUCACAGAUGUGGUGUGGCAGGAUUGCAGGGCUUAUGUCUGAUCUGUUAGAUGUGGGAUUGAUUAGCCCUGCCUAUUGAAUGCUGCUCCAGUUGUUUGGCAUGCAAGUAGAACUGUGCUGUAGCUUCUCCAGACUGAUACCUACUUUUCAGUUUUGGUUAGUGCUUUUAGCAUGUCCUCCUUUACUCAUUGAACCAUGAUUGAUUCCCCCACUAGGUACUAGGUUGUGGUUGAACGUGAAUCUGCUGCUGAUGACGACUUUCAGUACCUUAUGGAUGUCUGCUUUUGAGUUUUUAGAUCUGUUCAAAAUCUAUCCUAUUUAAUAUCCCAUUUGUGCAUUGCAUGAAAACCUUAAUGAACUAAUAAUGCCAAGUGUCAUUUGCUUGUAUUGUGUACAAAAGAAUAUUACCACUACCACAAAAUGAAUGGUGUUCUGAAUUACUAUCUUGGAAUCCUUCAAUCUUUUUUACUUCAUGCCAUGAUGUAUAGUCACUAGUAAGUGCUUGGACAACUUAAAAGUGCAAUGUUGACCCUUUUCUAGUUGCAUAGCAGCAAUCAGUAACUCAUGAGUACCAGGUAUAGCACUACAGUUCAUUGUAAAAUCUGAAAGGACAAAGCUAUCAUCUCCCAAUCAGAACAUACACCAUAAUGCAUCAAAAGGCAAUUCCAUCAAUUGGAGGUGAGGAGAUUCAGCAUCAGUUGCAUUCUGUUCUACUUUCAAAUCAUGGGAGAAACUGCAGAACCAUGCUUAUCUAUUCUGAGCAUAUUGACUUUAAUUGUAAUGUCCGCACUGCUAUUAAAUAAAAUCACUAACCCAGGUUGAGAACGUGACUUGGAUUUUUUUCUAUUCUGCAAACUGGAGCUCUUCAUAAAAUAAAUCCAUUAAACAUUGCUGAAAAAAGACAUAUUAUGUUGAAGCCUCUUG